AUGACAGUACCUGGUAAAGAAACCCCGGCUAACUCCGUGCCAGCAGCCGCGGUAAUACGGAGGGGGUUAGCGUUGUUCGGAAUUACUGGGCGUAAAGCGUACGUAGGCGGAUUAGUCAGUCAGAGGUGAAAUCCCAGGGCUCAACCCUGGAACUGCCUUUGAUACUGCUAGUCUUGAGUUCGAGAGAGGUGAGUGGAAUUGCGAGUGUAGAGGUGAAAUUCGUAGAUAUUCGCAGGAACACCAGUGGCGAAGGCGGCUCACUGGCUCGAUACUGACGCUGAGGUGCGAAAGUGUGGGGAGCAACAGGAUUAGAUACCCUGGUAGCCACACCGUAAACGAUGAAUGCCAGUCGUCGGUAGCAUGCUAUUUGGUGACACACCUAACGGAUUAAGCAUUCCGCCUGGGGAGUACGGUCGCAAGAUUAAAACU
rnacentral:rRNA from 1 species